rnacentral:rRNA from 1 species
UACGGAGGAUUCAAGCGUUAUCCGGAUUUACUGGGUGUAAAGGGAGCGCAGGCGGCGCGGCAAGUCUGAUGUGAAAGCCCGGGGCUCAACCCCGGGACUGCAUUGGAAACUGUCGCGCUCGAGUGUCGGAGAGGUAAGUGGAAUUCCUAGUGUAGCGGUGAAAUGCGUAGAUAUUAGGAGGAACACCAGUGGCGAAGGCGGCUUACUGGACUGUAACUGACGUUGAGGCUCGAAAGCGUGGGGAGCAAACAGG